GACGAACGCUGGCGGGGUGCCUAAUACAUGCAAGUUGAGCGAUGAAGAUUGGUGCUUGCACCAAUUUGAAGAGCAGCGAACGGGUGAGUAACGCGUGGGGAAUCUGCCUUUGAGCGGGGGACAACAUUUGGAAACGAAUGCUAAUACCGCAUAACAACUUUAAACAUAAGUUUUAAGUUUGAAAGAUGCAAUUGCAUCACUCAAAGAUGAUCCCGCGUUGUAUUAGCUAGUUGGUGAGGUAAAGGCUCACCAAGGCGAUGAUACAUAGCCGACCUGAGAGGGUGAUCGGCCACAUUGGGACUGAGACACGGCCCAAACUCCUACGGGAGGCAGCAGUAGGGAAUCUUCGGCAAUGGACGAAAGUCUGACCGAGCAACGCCGCGUGAGUGAAGAAGGUUUUCGGAUCGUAAAACUCUGUUGGUAGAGAAGAACGUUGGUGAGAGUGGAAAGCUCAUCAAGUGACGGUAACUACCCAGAAAGGGACGGCUAACUACGUG
rnacentral:rRNA from 1 species